AGCGUACACGGUGGAUGCCCUGGCAGUCAGAGGCGAUGAAGGACGUGCUAAUCUGCGAUAAGCGUCGGUGAGGUGAUAUGAACCGUUAUAACCGGCGAUUUCCGAAUGGGGAAACCCAGUGUGUUUCGACACACUAUCAUUAACUGAAUCCAUAGGUUAAUGAGGCGAACCGGGGGAACUGAAACAUCUAAGUACCCCGAGGAAAAGAAAUCAACCGAGAUUCCCCCAGUAGCGGCGAGCGAACGGGGAGGAGCCCAGAGCCUGAAUCAGUGUGUGUGUUAGUGGAAGCGUCUGGAAAGGCGCGCGAUACAGGGUGACAGCCCCGUACACAAAAAUGCACAUAUUGUGAGCUCGAUGAGUAGGGCGGGACACGUGGUAUCCUGUCUGAAUAUGGGGGGACCAUCCUCCAAGGCUAAAUACUCCUGACUGACCGAUAGUGAACCAGUACCGUGAGGGAAAGGCGAAAAGAACCCCGGCGAGGGGAGUGAAAAAGAACCUGAAACCGUGUACGUACAAGCAGUGGGAGCCUCUUAAUGGGGUGACUGCGUACCUUUUGUAUAAUGGGUCAGCGACUUAUAUUCUGUAGCAAGGUUAACCGAAUAGGGGAGCCGAAGGGAAACCGAGUCUUAACUGGGCGUUAAGUUGCAGGGUAUAGACCCGAAACCCGGUGAUCUAGCCAUGGGCAGGUUGAAGGUUGGGUAACACUAACUGGAGGACCGAACCGACUAAUGUUGAAAAAUUAGCGGAUGACUUGUGGCUGGGGGUGAAAGGCCAAUCAAACCGGGAGAUAGCUGGUUCUCCCCGAAAGCUAUUUAGGUAGCGCCUCGUGAAUUCAUCUCCGGGGGUAGAGCACUGUUUCGGCAAGGGGGUCAUCCCGACUUACCAACCCGAUGCAAACUGCGAAUACCGGAGAAUGUUAUCACGGGAGACACACGGCGGGUGCUAACGUCCGUCGUGAAGAGGGAAACAACCCAGACCGCCAGCUAAGGUCCCAAAGUCAUGGUUAAGUGGGAAACGAUGUGGGAAGGCCCAGACAGCCAGGAUGUUGGCUUAGAAGCAGCCAUCAUUUAAAGAAAGCGUAAUAGCUCACUGGUCGAGUCGGCCUGCGCGGAAGAUGUAACGGGGCUAAACCAUGCACCGAAGCUGCGGCAGCGACGCUUAUGCGUUGUUGGGUAGGGGAGCGUUCUGUAAGCCUGUGAAGGUGGCCUGUGAGGGUUGCUGGAGGUAUCAGAAGUGCGAAUGCUGACAUAAGUAACGAUAAAGCGGGUGAAAAGCCCGCUCGCCGGAAGACCAAGGGUUCCUGUCCAACGUUAAUCGGGGCAGGGUGAGUCGACUCCUAAGGCGAGGCCGAAAGGCGUAGUCGAUGGGAAACAGGUUAAUAUUCCUGUACUUGGUGUUACUGCGAAGGGGGGACGGAGAAGGCUAUGUUGGCCGGGCGACGGUUGUCCCGGUUUAAGCGUGUAGGCUGGUUUUCCAGGCAAAUCCGGAAAACCAAGGCUGAGGCGUGAUGACGAGGCACUACGGUGCUGAAGUGACAAAUGCCCUGCUUCCAGGAAAAGCCUCUAAGCAUCAGGUAACAUCAAAUCGUACCCCAAACCGACACAGGUGGUCAGGUAGAGAAUACCAAGGCGCUUGAGAGAACUCGGGUGAAGGAACUAGGCAAAAUGGUGCCGUAACUUCGGGAGAAGGCACGCUGAUAUGUAGGUGAAGCGACUUGCUCGUGGAGCUGAAAUCAGUCGAAGAUACCAGCUGGCUGCAACUGUUUAUUAAAAACACAGCACUGUGCAAACACGAAAGUGGACGUAUACGGUGUGACGCCUGCCCGGUGCCGGAAGGUUAAUUGAUGGGGUUAGCGGCAACGCGAAGCUCUUGAUCGAAGCCCCGGUAAACGGCGGCCGUAACUAUAACGGUCCUAAGGUAGCGAAAUUCCUUGUCGGGUAAGUUCCGACCUGCACGAAUGGCGUAAUGAUGGCCAGGCUGUCUCCACCCGAGACUCAGUGAAAUUGAACUCGCUGUGAAGAUGCAGUGUACCCGCGGCAAGACGGAAAGACCCCGUGAACCUUUACUAUAGCUUGACACUGAACAUUGAGCCUUGAUGUGUAGGAUAGGUGGGAGGCUUUGAAGUGUGGACGCCAGUCUGCAUGGAGCCGACCUUGAAAUACCACCCUUUAAUGUUUGAUGUUCUAACGUUGGCCCGUAAUCCGGGUUGCGGACAGUGUCUGGUGGGUAGUUUGACUGGGGCGGUCUCCUCCUAAAGAGUAACGGAGGAGCACGAAGGUUGGCUAAUCCUGGUCGGACAUCAGGAGGUUAGUGCAAUGGCAUAAGCCAGCUUGACUGCGAGCGUGACGGCGCGAGCAGGUGCGAAAGCAGGUCAUAGUGAUCCGGUGGUUCUGAAUGGAAGGGCCAUCGCUCAACGGAUAAAAGGUACUCCGGGGAUAACAGGCUGAUACCGCCCAAGAGUUCAUAUCGACGGCGGUGUUUGGCACCUCGAUGUCGGCUCAUCACAUCCUGGGGCUGAAGUAGGUCCCAAGGGUAUGGCUGUUCGCCAUUUAAAGUGGUACGCGAGCUGGGUUUAGAACGUCGUGAGACAGUUCGGUCCCUAUCUGCCGUGGGCGCUGGAGAACUGAGGGGGGCUGCUCCUAGUACGAGAGGACCGGAGUGGACGCAUCACUGGUGUUCGGGUUGUCAUGCCAAUGGCACUGCCCGGUAGCUAAAUGCGGAAGAGAUAAGUGCUGAAAGCAUCUAAGCACGAAACUUGCCCCGAGAUGAGUUCUCCCUGACUCCUUGA
rnacentral:rRNA from 1 species